GCAUUUUCACCUGUUGUUCCAAAGCACAUUUUUCCUCAUCUAAAACUUCUUUUUCUAACUGAAGGCCUUUAAAUUGUUCUUUCCAGUUGUCCGCUUCCAUAUGAUAGUCGUUGACUAACUGUUCAGUAUGGACAAUUCUCUUCAUCAGCUCUGUGCCUAUCAGGCUGAUCUACAAAAGAAAAGGAAGAAGUGAUUAUCAAACAAAGAUAAAGAAAUCACAUGUAAAAUAAAAAGCUAAGGCUUAUACCUUUAAAGAUGAAUGGACAAUGUCAUUCAUCCAUGUCAAAGAGCCGUGGUUUUCUAAUUUAGACUUCUCAACUGGGCCAAUCAGCAAUUUUAGCCAUACAUCAGCUUGGCCAGACUUUUUCAAAAGAUUACCAUCCGCAGGGACUUCAAUGGUAACUUUUUUCAUCCUCCUACUGCUACCGGGAGAGCCAACUUCAACAUGAGAAGUGGUAGCAAUAGGGAUAGUUGAGGAAGUAAAAAUAGCCAGAGAGGAGCAAUGGCAGCAACAACAGGCGCGGGAAACUGAGAACCAAUAGGAAUGGACACUGGGAAGGAGGCAAGGGGUGCUUCCUCAGAAACUAAGCCAAAAUCUUCACUAUCAAACCCUUGGGAAAACAACUGCUCUGUAGAAUUAUGAGGUGCAGCAAUCAUCUCUUCAUCAGAGCUCACCAAAGUGGCAGUUUCAGGCUCAUUCACGGGAACUGAACUUGGAGGAGGAGUGGCUUCAUCAUCCUAAACAACACGUCUCUUAGCCCGAGGCUUACGCACUAAAGAGCCCUCCUCUCGUUCCUCUUUACCCUCAGAAACAUGAGAUCUCUCUACUUUUCUCUUUGAUGAAGAACUAAAAAUCAUCUCUUGAGCCAUGGACUAAGAAAGUCUUGAUGAAGUAAUAGACGUGGCACUAACACCCCUUAUGGGAAACCCUAUCAGAAGAAGAAGUUAGUAAAUCUCCAAAUAAAUAUGAAAGAAAGGUAGAAAGUUAAAGGGGAGCAUACCAUGAGUUUUAACUUUCCAACCAAACCUAUGAGAAAGGUAUUUCCAAGACCUUCCUUCCAUAGGAGCAACCGACAAUAAUUUUUCUACCCAAGCACGGAAGUCUGGUAUUUCUUCAAUAAUUUCCACGGUUGCUAAAAAGGAAAAAAAAAACAGCCACGGGAUCGGAAGUUACUUCUUCCUUCAUAAAAGAGAAGAAAGAUAUCUAAAAAAAAACUUAUGUGCAAAGUUCUAUUUUUCUGGAAAGGGCAUGUUCUCUUCACCCACUAAAUCACUUGUGGGAGCAGCAAUAAAAUGAGCAUACCAGCCACGAUCUUUAUCAUCUUUAGGGCUAACCAAAACCCUUUUGCUCCUAGCCACGAGAGUAAACACCCCUGAACGAAACAACUUAGGGGAAUAAAGAUGAAGCAAAUGCUGAAAGGCGAAGUGUAAAGAGGCCGAAUUAGCCAGGUAUCUUAAACAUGCAACAACUCUCCAUACAAUAGGACCAAUCUGUCCUAAGAAAACGUUAAAGAAACGGCAAAAUUCUAUGAUGGCUGGGUCAAUAGGUGGUCUAAAACCUAAUGUAAAAGGAUAUGUAUAAAUGAAAGAGUAACCAGCUUGAAACGAAGUAAUCCUUUGGUUUGGAACAAGAACUAAAAUUGAAAAGCCGAAUUUCCAAUGGCAUUCUCUUCGCACAAAAGAAAUCAAAUCCUUAGUAAUCUGGGAAGGAUAAACAUCGGCAGGAUCAUGGGAAGUCAUAGAAGUUACUUGAUUUCUAAUUGAUUCUCGAUCAGUAGAGAAAAAAAUUCUUCAGGAAUAAUUUCAUCAACAGUUGGUUCUUGAAUAGGUUCACUCGAAUUCCUAUUUCUAGCAGAAGAUCUAUGAGUUGAAGAAGCCCUAGUUUUAGAAGAAGAAGGGGUAGUAACGUUAGUUUGAGAAAUAGAACCACGAAUGGAUAUAGAUCCUAAACUACAUAAUCUACCGCUCCUACAGGAGCAGUUGAAAGGGAAAAUUCAUCUACAAUUACUACUCUGCGAGGAUCGGGGUUUGAUGAAGAUAUGGUUAUACGAGAAAAUAAUAUUUGCUGAAGAACAAGAACGAUUAAAGAAGAAGACACUGUAGAUUGAAGGUUUUGUGAAACUAAAAGUGAAUGAUGCAGCCGCAAGAAAGCCUUAAAAAUCGCUAAAGAAUCGUAGACCCAAUCGACAAAGGCCACGUAGCACAUACAUUAAAUGGAAGUGACAUGCGAAGCGAUGGUUCUGAAGAAGAUGCAAUGAUAUAUGGGAAACGGCGGCAAACAAUUCCCGCCAUAAAUAUGUGCCACUUCCUAAAUAUUCCAUUGCAGAAUAUUCGGCAAGUGGGGGGACUAUCUGUAUUGGUAAAAACUAAAUAUUACACGUGGAAUUAUAUGAGGAUGAUAGGGCAAGAUACGUGGAUUACUAAGAAGAUGACAACUGGAGAGUCACAUUAAAAGAGUUGCGAUUUACAACCGGUACGAUCAAAUCACUCACGAGAUGAAAAUGUACGGUUGUCCGAGCCUAAAUUAUUCAGUGAAAAGACACAUGCAGGAUGAAUCAAUACAGUAAAGAGGGAAGAUUCAUGAACCUUAAAUUAAUGUGGAAGAAGAAUCGAAACCAUUACAGAAUCUUCAUGAACAUGUACCGUUGCCGAUUGUAACGUUUCAUUAAUGUCAUUAAUGCUCAUAAUGAUUCUGUCAUAAAAGGGAAGAAACGUUAUAUUUGUAAAUUCCUAUAUAAGGGAAGGGAAUUUCACUUGUAAGGACACGUUCUAAUGAACAUUGGAAUAUAAUUAUUUUCUUGUGCUUUCUAUUGAUUACUUUGCCAUUUCUGAUUCCGAUCUCCUUUCUUAUAUUUGAGAGAAUAUUAAAUUUCUUAAUUAUCAGUAACCCGAGUACCUAUAAAAAUAGGUUUUGACGUAGAAUAUAAUUCUUUGGUUAAACAAUGUCCAAAUAUAAAAGAGUACUGUGUUUUGUGCGAAUAAAAUUUCUCUGCAUCCACGUUUGAAUACUUAGCCACCAAUAAUAAAAAAUAAUACUACCAACAACCAAAGAACAGAUCUUCCUGCCGGCCAUAUUUAUUUUUCUUUUUUAUUAAUGGGAUUGGUCCCACAUAUAAUGGAUAAUAUAUUAUCCUAGCCUCUAUAAUUGAGGUUUAGCCAUUUGUAGAAGGCGGAGAGGUAGAAUAUGAACAGAGGGAGAUCAAGUGAUCAAUCUACAAAAGUAAAGAUCGAAAGGGUUGCAGAACCGGGUAUGCUCUCAUUUUCUUCACUAUAUUGAUGUUUAAGAAGCUAUAUUACUAACAGAUUUAAACAUAUGAUCCUAUAUAUUAGUGAAAUCUCUCUGUUUUGUCAAAUUUUCUAUCCUUAGUUUUCUUUAAUGUUUUAGUUUAAAAGUUGCUAGUGAAUUAACGUUAUUUACACGUUAUAAUAUGUAUUUUAAGAAAAAAGAUCAUCCAAUCGAAGCUUAUGCUAUGUUUUAUUGUUAUAGAUCCAUGGUCAUUAAGUCGAACUAUGCAAAUUAUUAUUCAAGAUGAUACCUAUAGAGACAUGAUUAAUUGGGAUUCAUUACCAAAAUCAUUUUUACCCCCCAAUUUUAAACUCGAGGACAGUGGCCUUUCAGAAUCAAAAGCUUUUAUCCUAAUGGUUGAACCAGAUGACUGCAUAGCUGCAGUUAAAGCGUAUAUUCAAGAAGAAAAGGAGAUUCCAUUUAAGAAACAGAAGCUAUUGAAUAAAGAUGGGGGAGUUUUAAGAGAUUCACAGACUCUUCUUUCUGCGGAAAUCAAGCAAGGUUCUACCUUAAUCCUUCGAUAUGCACCAAUAACACAAAUCUCUGUGAAAAUGCUAACUGGACGCACUAUAUGGUUAAUGGUUGAGGGUGAUGAUACCGUUGCAGAUGUUAAGGCUGUAAUUCAAGAAAAGGAGGGAAUUAGGUUUCAUAAACAGAGGUUACUCUACGAUGGACGAAUAUUAGAAGAUGACAAGCUUCUUGUCCACUGCGGAAUUCAGUAUGACAGUAUUUUGGAUCUUCUCUUAAGCUUGUGCGGUUGUUGAAUAUUGCACAAACUGGCAAGGAUAUAUACAGGAUUAUGUUUUUUUUAAUUGACUUUUAGUAGAUUUUCCAGCAGUUGUUGAACAACUUCCAGCAUAAUGUUUGGUAAGUUCCGUUGGAGCUAAGCAUGGAUCGAUUAUCCUUUUCAAUCAAUUUGUUAUCACUUUCUUUGUCCGUUUACACUUGUUGGUUUAGAUCUGCUACUACCUCAGGUAUUUUUGAAAUAUAUUGUUUAUGACUUUUUGGCUAAUC
rnacentral:lncRNA from 1 species